UCUGGAGCUAAUACAUGCAUCAAAGCUCUGACCCCCUCGGAGCGCAUUUAUUAGAACAAAACCAAUCGGCUUCGGCCGUUUGUUGUUGACUCUGAAUAACUCAGCUGAUCGCAUGGUCUUGAACCGGCGACAUAUCUUUCAAGUAUCUGCCUUAUCAACUUUCGAUGGUAGUUUAUGUGCCUACCAUGGUUGCAACGGGUAACGGAAAAUAAGGGUUUGAUUCCGGAGAGGGAGCCUGAGAAACGGCUACCACAUCUAAGGAAGGCAGCAGGCGCGCAAAUUACCCACUCUCAGUACGAGGAGGUAGUGACUAACAAUAACGAGACCGUCUUCUUUGAGGCCGGUUAUCGGAAUGGGUACAAUUUAAACCCUUUAACGAGGAUCUUUGAGAGGGCAAGUCUGGUGCCAGCAGCCGCGGUAAUUCCAGCUCUCAAGGUGUAUAUCCCUAUUGCUGCGGUUAAAAAGCUCGUAGUUGGAUCUACGCCUCAGGACACGGUCCGCCUUUGGGCGCGCACUGUGAUCCUAGGCAGUUACUGCUGGUUUUCUGCCGGUG
rnacentral:rRNA from 1 species